GCUUCCCCGGGAAAGAAGGCCCCUCUCCUGGCUGGGAGAGAAAACCACUGGGCCUGCAGGAGCAACACCUCGUUCGCCAGUGGAGCUGUCACCCUAAGGUCAAGGUCAUGUGUCCCCCAUACCUGGUGGUCCUGGAGAUGGACAGCAGGCUCCGAUUCUGCUUCUGGAAAUACACUCGCAAUUAAACCGAGAAGUCGGAGAGCCGCCUGGAGAGCCAAGCGGCAGUUACACAACCCUCACCGGGCUCCCAGUGGCCCAGCGCAGCGGGAAGACGCACGUGCCUGCGGCCACUCCGGUCCUGCUGUGGCCUCCCGGGCAAGGAUGAGCGCAGGAGCAGUGGACAGAGUCCUUGUCACCACCGUGCUCACGCUCUGGCAGGGGAAGCGACGGGGCACGCCUCGGAUCAGGCACCACCAGGGUUGGAAGGAGUGUGGCUGAGCAUGCGGGGGUGGGGGCAGCUGGGGAGGGGACAUUGGAUAAGAUCUGACAGCACAAAGGAGGCAGCACGUGUACAUCUGGGCAGAGGGCAAAGCCAGUGUGAAGGCCCUGGGGCAGGAGACCGUUAGUGCCGGAGCAGAGAGGGCCAGUGAGCAAGGCCGCAGCGUCGGGCAGGUGCGGGGAGGUUGGGGGGGGG
rnacentral:lncRNA from 1 species